rnacentral:piRNA from 1 species
UCNGAUGCUACAAAGUGAGACAUGACCUUU